rnacentral:lncRNA from 1 species
GGUUUUGUAAAUAGUUGGGUUUAAUCUCUUUUAACCCUCUGUAAACCUAAUUGAUAGGUCAUUGAACGCGUGGGAAGCGACGGUUCGUCGAUUCGUCGAGCGGGGCGACGUUCCGACUGAAACAAGUGUUCGUGGGUUUGUAUUGACCCGAGGAGCCGAGGCGGCUUCAAUAAAUCGUGGGAUCGCAUCCCGAGCAUCAUAACGAAGAACCGAAGACCUUUAAUUUACAGAUCGCAAAUCGGUGGUCAUUUGACGGUCGCAUGUGAGUGGGGUCGAGCCGUGCGGCGUGCGCCGCGGGAGGCCGAUUGCUAGUGACGACGAGCAAUCGGAACGCGAUAAAAGGUGGGUGGUGUCCAUCCCGAAGCAAUCGGGCUCCCUUCUAUGUCUUAGUACAUUUCGAUUCUGCAUCUUGUAUUAUUGCAUUAUAGGAUGAUUGUGCAUUGCCUUUCCUUAUGCUUUCCUUGAUGAUAUCGUAGCAUGUAUUGGAUACUUGACAUAGUGGAUCGAUAAGG